AUCCUCUCAGGGUCACACCUGGAGAGUUUCCAGUACUCUACCAGUCAUGACUACAGGAGGGAGAGUCAAGCAGAGGCAUACCUAUUCCACUCCUACCUUGGGAAGUGGCUUGGGAGUGGAAGGCAAUCUGCUAUAAGU
rfam:Ornithorhynchus anatinus chromosome 7, whole genome shotgun sequence.